CAAACAUCCUUUGGUAACUCCUGUUUCUCACUAGCUUGAGGAAAGGCAGAAAAGUUUGGGACCUGCGGUGGUGUUCGCUAGAGUAGGAACCACGUUGUCAAGCACACCAGAUAUAAACCAGCUUUUUGGCUCAGACCUUUUCCUCUGAAGACACCUGCUUCCUGUGCAAAAUACUGAGGGCCCAGCCUAGGUGUUGAGGUUGUUGGCUUUGCUGCUCCAUCAGACUUCGGGGAGCUGCUUGUACAGUGAAGUAUUCAGUUGUGCCUGCAGUCUCCAGAGGAACACACAGCUAAGGAAGAGGAAGACCUGUGAGGAUGACAAGCUGAGGGAUGUCCAAGUGUUCAGGAAAAGAGAAUGUGGGCCUGGACCAUCCUUAUGGCCUCCGCAUAGAGAGUGCCACCUGGGAGGGCUUGCGGAGGAGGAUCCUGAUCAUGGUGUGAAGAGGUCAGUUUGGACAAGGAAAGGAGAGAGGGUUUAAGAAUAUGUAGUGCUGAGAGCGUUCCUGGGAAAUAAUAAAGUAGGUUAGUUUUGCCAAUGAUAGAAAUAGCUUCCUAUUGAUUUAAGGAGGCUAAGUUUCCAAUAAUACAUUGAGAACAUAGUCCCGUUUCCCUGAUACUCUUCUAGAGAUGGUGGCAGGGAAGGACUCCAAAGCUUUAGUAGAGGCUACCAAACCUUGACUGGACAAAGGAGGUCCUGAAAUAGGGACUUUCUGGGAACAGCCAGUUUACUCUGUGUGUCUAGAAUGUUAUCUUUACUUGGAAAAUGGGAAAGUGUAUUUGAAGACGGUGUAAAGCCAGGAAAAAUAUAGCUGUCAUUUAUUUGUCAGGAAAAAACAGGAAAUUUCUAUUUUUAUUCUUAGGCAAUUUUUUCACUUUCCUUCUUUUAAAAUACAAUGACAGUCAAUGAUUAAUAGAUGCAGUCCACAGUGCUGCCAGCAAGAAGCCAACCUGAGUGUAGGAAAAGCUUAAAUAAUUGAAGGGAAAAAAUGACAGAGGCAGCCAUUAGUUCCUCUUGAUAAGAAAGGCCUCAUAGCCUGGCUAUUUGCCCAAAUAAAAGGGAAAAUUUACCAUUAGAGUAGUGCAAUCUGUAGAUUUUGUGAUGGACUUCCCUUGGGGGCAAAAGAAAUGACAGGGCUCAGUGUUUCUAAAUUGAUAGAGAAUGAUGCAAAACCUUCUCAUUUUUAGUUGCAUUACAGCACUUACAGCACAACCAGCUG
rnacentral:lncRNA from 1 species